AUUGCGGAAUACCUAAUGUAUUUAACGAUCAAAUGCUUCUCAGUGGUUUAUAGUUGGAGCACGUGAGUUAAUUACCUCUUUUUUAUAUAACCAAACCUACAAGUGGCAGCAAUUGGCGGAGGAAACUCGCGUUCAUGAGCAAUCCAGAAAAACGCGCAAGAAACACCCGUCAACAUAUACCAUACUUGUUCCUGACACCAUAUACGACACUUUUGCUGUUUUACUUUAAUAGUGUAAUAUUAAACUAUUACUUGAAAUAAAAUAAGAGCUUUGAUUGCCUAUGUGAUAAUUACAAUCAAUGAAAUGCUCAAUGUUUACAGAUCGUGAUCUUGAUUUUACCGCACCGAAAAACACAACAUAAAGGAACAUAAAUGAUUUAACUCGUUAUGCGAGAUUUUAUUAGUUAUGAGAGAUUUUUGAUUUGCUUGUUAUGCGAACAACUCGUCGUUCCACUGUACUCAUCAUAUUUAAAUUUCCACUCCAGGAAUUUCCACUAUACCCUAAUACAACCGUUUAUUAUUAACUCAUAUUUGUAUUUUUAUUAUUCUUCGUAUUUAUAUUUUAUAGUGAAAUUCAAUGUGUAUGUGUGUUAAGUCAUGUUCAAUUACUUUAGAGGCACUCUGAAUAAUUAUAUUAUUAUCAUGCGUUUGUAUUAUGACGAUUCCUUAUUUUGAGACGCUCUCCAAGGUCUCACAUCCGUGGUGUCGGCCUAACCCUACCCUGGGGGCCUUGACUUGAUUCAGCAGUUGUACUAAAUAAGAAGAAAAAUUGUAUGUUUCUUUUCUUUAUUAGGGAGCAACAGUCCAAAAACCUCGUAACACAUAAACAGUUAUAUGUUAAGGUUUAUCAAUCGUGAAAAUCAAAGUCUUUAUUAAUUCAUACGGAAGUACACGAUACAUCUGCAAAAUAAAUGCUAGACGAAACUUAAGAUAACGAGCCAUUUUUACUUAAGGCCAACUUAAGAUACGUAUCAUACACUAGCCGUAUAUCAUGAAGUACUUAGGUUUAGAUGUAAAAAAGGUUAUGACUUCGAGGAAAAUCCACAAGUAGGAAAAAAUGAACAUA